ACAUGCAAGUCGAGCGAACAGAUAAGGAGCUUGCUCCUUUGACGUUAGCGGCGGACGGGUGAGUAACACGUGGAUAACCUACCUAUAAGACUGGGAUAACUUCGGGAAACCGGAGCUAAUACCGGAUAACAUAUUGAACCGCAUGGUUCAAUAGUGAAAGGCGGCUUUGCUGUCACUUAUAGAUGGAUCCGCGCCGUAUUAGCUAGUUGGUAAGGUAACGGCUUACCAAGGCAACGAUACGUAGCCGACCUGAGAGGGUGAUCGGCCACACUGGAACUGAGACACGGUCCAGACUCCUACGGGAGGCAGCAGUAGGGAAUCUUCCGCAAUGGGCGAAAGCCUGACGGAGCAACGCCGCGUGAGUGAUGAAGGUCUUCGGAUCGUAAAACUCUGUUAUCAGGGAAGAACAAAUGUGUAAGUAACUGUGCACAUCUUGACGG
rnacentral:rRNA from 1 species